rnacentral:lncRNA from 1 species
GCGGGGAAUUGUACUUGGUGUAAAAACUACUUAGUUGGUGGCAUUGGUAAUCAUUGAAAUGUUUGUGUCGCGCUAUUUGCUAUAUACAGGUUAAGAGGGUGAUUCCUUUCUCAUGUGUAUAACAGAUAGAUAGGUCAUAGGUAGAAAAUAUAGGUUAAGUACGAGUUCUUAGAACUCAUACUUAUGUGACAUUCUUGACUUAUAGUUAUAUGAAAUGUUUGUGAACCCCUCAGCGAAUGGACGCCAAAGGUCUGACUAGGGUAAGUUCGUAAACUCAUAUAAUUGUGGCCAGGUUAUGAACUCAUAAGUGUGGUUUUAUGAACUGGGUAUAGUUGUGUGAAUGGAGUGUUAAGGAUAAUAGGAAUAGAUAGAAUGUUUAAGCAAAUGAUCAUUAGUGGAGAUUUAGGUUUUCCUAAACCCCUAGCUUUGCUAAACUUCAAUUUUUGACAUCAAG